rnacentral:rRNA from 1 species
UACGUAGGGGGCAAGCGUUGUCCGGAUUUAUUGGGCGUAAAGAGCUCGUAGGCGGUUUGUUGCGUCGGCUGUGAAAUCCCGAGGCUCAACCUCGGGUCUGCAGUCGAUACGAGCAAACUAGAGUGUUGCAGGGGAGACUGGAAUUCCUGGUGAUAGCGGUGAAAUGCGCAGAUAUCAAGGAGGAACACCAAUGGCGAAGGCAGCUCGCUGGGACGGUACUGACGCUGGAGGCAACGAAAAGCGUGGGGGAGCAAACAGG